AUUGAACGCUGGCGGCAGGCCUAACACAUGCAAGUCGAGCGGAGCGGCGGACGGGUGAGUAAUGCCUAGGAAUCUGCCUGGUAGUGGGGGAUAACGUCCGGAAACGGGCGCUAAUACCGCAUACUAUCAGAUGAGCCUAGGUCGGAUUAGCUAGUUGGUGUGGUAAAGGCCUACCAAGGCGACGCUCCGUAACUGGUUUGCGAGGAUGGUCAGUCACACUGGAACGGAGACACGGUCCAGACUCAUACGGGAGGCAGCAGUGGGGAAUAGUGGACAAUGGGCGAAAGCCUGAUCCAGCCCUGCCGCGUGUGUGGAGAAGGUAUGCGUAUUGUAAAGCACUUUAAGUUGGGAGGCGUUACCAACAGAAUAAGCACCGGCUAACUUCGUGCCAGCAGCCGCGGUAAUUC
rnacentral:rRNA from 1 species